UGGGGGAUAUUGCACAAUGGGCGAAAGCCUGAUGCAGCGACGCCGCGUGGGGGAUGAAGGCUUUCGGGUUGUAAACCUCUUUCGCUAUCGAACAAGGCCCGCUUAGGGUGGGUUGAGGGUAGGUGGAGAAGAAGCGCCGGCUAACUACGUGCCAGCAGCCGCGGUAAUACGUAGGGCGCGAGCGUUGUCCGGAAUUAUUGGGCGUAAAGGGCUUGUAGGCGGCUUGUUGCGCCUGCUGUGAAAACGCGGGGCUUAACUUCGCGCGUGCAGUCGGUACGGGCAGGCUUGAGUGUGGUAGGGGUGACUGGAAUUCCAGGUGUAGCGGUGGAAUGCGCAGAUAUCUGGAGGAACACCGAUGGCGAAGGCAGGUCACUGGGCCAUUACUGACGCUGAGGAGCGAAAGCAUGGGUAGCGAGCAGG
rnacentral:rRNA from 1 species